AAAGUGCAUCAGAGAAGAAAUACGUGAAGGAAUUGUGGGAAGAUGGCUGACUAGAAGCAGUUUUCACCAGAGGCUCAUGCCCAGAGGGAGAGAUAUUGGACUGAAGUGGCUGGAAAGCAAAUGAGAGGCGCUCCACUGGAAGAGGAGUGCAUGAGGUACACGUCACCCAGGCUGAAUUAACUGGCAGACACAAGAAAGUGGAAGAAAAAUAACAGGACCUGAAGUGAAUGCUAUUCUUGACCAUCAUGUUCAAGACUUGAACGUCCAUAAAAGAAAGAGCUGGAUAAGCAACAUACUUACGGAAUUCUACAUAUCAA